rnacentral:rRNA from 1 species
UACAGAGGUGGCAAGCGUUGUUCGGAAUUACUGGGCGUAAAGGGCGCGUAGGCGGUCCCAUAAGUCCUGUGUGAAAUCCCCUGGCUCAACUGGGGAAUUGCACGGGAAACUGUGAGGCUUGAGUUCGGGAGAGGGAAGCGGAAUUCCGGGUGUAGCGGUGAAAUGCGUAGAUAUCCGGAGGAACACCGGUGGCGAAGGCGGCUUCCUGGACCGACACUGACGCUGAGGCGCGAAAGCUAGGGGAGCAAACGGG